rnacentral:tRNA from 1 species
GCCGCUGUCACCCUGAUGGCAUGGGUAGCCGGUCCUUCAAAUCGGCCUUCGCGGGUUCAAUUCCCGCCAGCGGUACCG